rnacentral:rRNA from 1 species
GGUUAAGCGACUAAGCGUACACGGUGGAUGCCCUGGCAGUCAGAGGCGAUGAAGGACGUGCUAAUCUGCGAUAAGCGUCGGUAAGGUGAUAUGAACCGUUAUAACCGGCGAUUUCCGAAUGGGGAAACCCAGUGUGAUUCGUCACACUAUCAUUAACUGAAUCCAUAGGUUAAUGAGGCGAACCGGGGGAACUGAAACAUCUAAGUACCCCGAGGAAAAGAAAUCAACCGAGAUUCCCCCAGUAGCGGCGAGCGAACGGGGAGCAGCCCAGAGCCUGAAUCAGUGUGUGUGUUAGUGGAAGCGUCUGGAAAGGCGUGCGAUACAGGGUGACAGCCCCGUACACAAAAAUGCACAUGCUGUGAGCUCGAUGAGUAGGGCGGGACACGUGGUAUCCUGUCUGAAUAUGGGGGGACCAUCCUCCAAGGCUAAAUACUCCUGACUGACCGAUAGUGAACCAGUACCGUGAGGGAAAGGCGAAAAGAACCCCGGCGAGGGGAGUGAAAAAGAACCUGAAACCGUGUACGUACAAGCAGUGGGAGCACGCUUAGGCGUGUGACUGCGUACCUUUUGUAUAAUGGGUCAGCGACUUAUAUUCUGUAGCAAGGUUAACCGAAUAGGGGAGCCGAAGGGAAACCGAGUCUUAACUGGGCGUUAAGUUGCAGGGUAUAGACCCGAAACCCGGUGAUCUAGCCAUGGGCAGGUUGAAGGUUGGGUAACACUAACUGGAGGACCGAACCGACUAAUGUUGAAAAAUUAGCGGAUGACUUGUGGCUGGGGGUGAAAGGCCAAUCAAACCGGGAGAUAGCUGGUUCUCCCCGAAAGCUAUUUAGGUAGCGCCUCGUGAAUUCAUCUCCGGGGGUAGAGCACUGUUUCGGCAAGGGGGUCAUCCCGACUUACCAACCCGAUGCAAACUGCGAAUACCGGAGAAUGUUAUCACGGGAGACACACGGCGGGUGCUAACGUCCGUCGUGAAGAGGGAAACAACCCAGACCGCCAGCUAAGGUCCCAAAGUCAUGGUUAAGUGGGAAACGAUGUGGGAAGGCCCAGACAGCCAGGAUGUUGGCUUAGAAGCAGCCAUCAUUUAAAGAAAGCGUAAUAGCUCACUGGUCGAGUCGGCCUGCGCGGAAGAUGUAACGGGGCUAAACCAUGCACCGAAGCUGCGGCAGCGACACUAUGUGUUGUUGGGUAGGGGAGCGUUCUGUAAGCCUGUGAAGGUGUACUGUGAGGUAUGCUGGAGGUAUCAGAAGUGCGAAUGCUGACAUAAGUAACGAUAAAGCGGGUGAAAAGCCCGCUCGCCGGAAGACCAAGGGUUCCUGUCCAACGUUAAUCGGGGCAGGGUGAGUCGACCCCUAAGGCGAGGCCGAAAGGCGUAGUCGAUGGGAAACAGGUUAAUAUUCCUGUACUUGGUGUUACUGCGAAGGGGGGACGGAGAAGGCUAUGUUGGCCGGGCGACGGUUGUCCCGGUUUAAGCGUGUAGGCUGGUUUUCCAGGCAAAUCCGGAAAAUCAAGGCUGAGGCGUGAUGACGAGGCACUACGGUGCUGAAGCAACAAAUGCCCUGCUUCCAGGAAAAGCCUCUAAGCAUCAGGUAACAUCAAAUCGUACCCCAAACCGACACAGGUGGUCAGGUAGAGAAUACCAAGGCGCUUGAGAGAACUCGGGUGAAGGAACUAGGCAAAAUGGUGCCGUAACUUCGGGAGAAGGCACGCUGAUAUGUAGGUGAAGUGAUUUACUCAUGGAGCUGAAAUCAGUCGAAGAUACCAGCUGGCUGCAACUGUUUAUUAAAAACACAGCACUGUGCAAACACGAAAGUGGACGUAUACGGUGUGACGCCUGCCCGGUGCCGGAAGGUUAAUUGAUGGGGUUAGCCGCAAGGCGAAGCUCUUGAUCGAAGCCCCGGUAAACGGCGGCCGUAACUAUAACGGUCCUAAGGUAGCGAAAUUCCUUGUCGGGUAAGUUCCGACCUGCACGAAUGGCGUAAUGAUGGCCAGGCUGUCUCCACCCGAGACUCAGUGAAAUUGAACUCGCUGUGAAGAUGCAGUGUACCCGCGGCAAGACGGAAAGACCCCGUGAACCUUUACUAUAGCUUGACACUGAACAUUGAGCCUUGAUGUGUAGGAUAGGUGGGAGGCUUUGAAGUGUGGACGCCAGUCUGCAUGGAGCCGACCUUGAAAUACCACCCUUUAAUGUUUGAUGUUCUAACGUUGACCCGUAAUCCGGGUUGCGGACAGUGUCUGGUGGGUAGUUUGACUGGGGCGGUCUCCUCCUAAAGAGUAACGGAGGAGCACGAAGGUUGGCUAAUCCUGGUCGGACAUCAGGAGGUUAGUGCAAUGGCAUAAGCCAGCUUGACUGCGAGCGUGACGGCGCGAGCAGGUGCGAAAGCAGGUCAUAGUGAUCCGGUGGUUCUGAAUGGAAGGGCCAUCGCUCAACGGAUAAAAGGUACUCCGGGGAUAACAGGCUGAUACCGCCCAAGAGUUCAUAUCGACGGCGGUGUUUGGCACCUCGAUGUCGGCUCAUCACAUCCUGGGGCUGAAGUAGGUCCCAAGGGUAUGGCUGUUCGCCAUUUAAAGUGGUACGCGAGCUGGGUUUAGAACGUCGUGAGACAGUUCGGUCCCUAUCUGCCGUGGGCGCUGGAGAACUGAGGGGGGCUGCUCCUAGUACGAGAGGACCGGAGUGGACGCAUCACUGGUGUUCGGGUUGUCAUGCCAAUGGCACUGCCCGGUAGCUAAAUGCGGAAGAGAUAAGUGCUGAAAGCAUCUAAGCACGAAACUUGCCCCGAGAUGAGUUCUCCCUGACUCCUUGAGAGUCCUGAAGGAACGUUGAAGACGACGACGUUGAUAGGCCGGGUGUGUAAGCGCAGCGAUGCGUUGAGCUAACCGGUACUAAUGAACCGUGAGGCUUAACCUU